UCUGAUUCCGCUGGUGGGAAAGAAGCUGCAAGAGAUUCUAAAUUCCUAGGCCUGAGUCCAGAGAACGUUGUACAUUUGAGCCUGAAGCUUCAGUUUUACGACCUAUGCUCUUACUUGGUCUCCCCUUGAAAAGUCACCCUGCUUCCAUGCACCUUGCAGUAUAGCCUGCUCUCAGCCAACAGCCAGCAAUCUUUGAAUAGCAGAAGUGGAGGAGAGCAGAGAGCCAGGUCUGUUCCCUUCUCACAUAUAUCCGAAGCCUACGUAUGGAUGCCUGGCACAUCGCAGGACCUGCUCAUCAUCCCAUGGACGAGAGAGAAUGGCUGACAGGGUGUCUCGCUGGGAUCCGUGGCUCACCAACUCCACUCUGCUGCCUGGACAGGAACCUCCAGUGGUUCUUGUGUCUCCACCUAGACGGUGCAAUGGGAUUGCAGGCACUUGCUACCACACCCAGCUUUACAUGAGAUCUGAGGAUUGAGAUUGGCGCAGACCCUCAUACUUACGUCGCAAGCUCUGUACCCACUCAGCCGUCUCUUCAGGCUCCUGGACUCACUCUUUCUUGUUUACUUUGCAUCCUAAAGUCUCGACCAAGGAACUAAUGAGUGUAAAUCAAACCACCAAAAUGUUGAUUACUCUGUCCCUUUACAAUGA